GUAGUCUGCAACCCGACUACAUGAAGCCGGAAUCGCUAGUAAUCGCGGAUCAGAAUGCCGCGGUGAAUACGUUCCCGGGUCUUGUACACACCGCCCGUCACACCAUGGGAGUUGGAAAUGCCCGAAGUCAGUGGCUCAACCGGAAGGGGGGAGCUGCCGAAGGCAGGUUCGAUGACUGGGGUGAAGUCGUAACAAGGUACC
rnacentral:rRNA from 1 species